rnacentral:tRNA from 1 species
GGCCGGUUAGCUCAGUUGGUUAGAGCGUGGUGCUAAUAACGCCAAGGUUGUGGGUUCGAUCCCCGUACGGGCCA